rnacentral:lncRNA from 1 species
CCGAAAACUACCGAAAACCAGUUUUGAUUACCGAAAACUACUUAUAUUUCUAAAAAUUGGCGGGAAUUAGAGGGAGAUAAAUUUGCAAGACGUUAGAAGUUUGAUGAAAUGAAAGAGGACAACAUUUUACAUCUAUUGUAUAUGUUCAUGUAUUUUUCAUAUAAUAUUGCCCAACGAUUUGACAGAUGGCGGGAAUAAGACGGAAUCACAGUGUUGGCUGAUGAAGGCUGGUGAAAUAAAAAAGAACAACAUUUUACAUCUGUAUGUUCACGUUUUAUCAUAUAAAGAUGUUGUUUUUUUUUGUGUUUUUUUUAAACUGGUCUGACACAAUGUUCAUCGUGUUAAACAUAUUUACAAAAUAUUUACAUAUAUAGAUAUAUAUCUGUUACUUUUUUUUUCUUUCUUUCAGUUUAUGUUUGCAGAGUAAAAUCUGGUGUUACACAAUAUUCAUAGUGUGUGACACAAUGGAAAUCAUACAUGUUCAAUCUCCUUUGGCCUUUUUUGUUACCGUCACCGUACGUACAUUAAUUUUCCGUUUACGUUGUCCAGGUUCUUUGCCUUCUGUCCUUGGGCCAACUUCAGUACUUCGUCCGUCAGUCGAAGUGACAAGUUUGUCAUCCUUAACAACAUAUUGUCUGUAGCGUCGGUACAGCUUAGUCCGUUCUUGUUCAGUCAUGUCGAUCCAACUUGCCUUGGAGACCUCGAAGUGCUUGUGCGUUACCGCCAGGCGAUAUCUGCCCGUUGAGAGAAGGGCACUUCGAAGCUCCUGAUAUUGACCUGUGACAACUCGCUUUGUGAGGCGAACAAACUCUGAUAGACUUUUGGUUUCCCAAUUGACAGUCUGUUUAAGGACGUGGUUGAUGGAUCCAAAAUCAUAUGCGGGUUGUAAAAAUACAAAGUGCUAUUCCACCUUAACAUUGAAAUGUAAUGUUGUUUAAACAAUAAAAAUGACGUUGACACUGUUCCGUAAAAUAAUAAUAUUGUCAAAACAAAAACACAAAAAAACAAGGAACUUUAACAACGUAUAAACCUUUGAAUUUCUUUCCUUCUUAUAUUUCAUUAUUUUUAUCAUCUUUACGGACGUGCAAUGCGGUAUGGGGACAUUUGCUAAAUGACGGACGGGAAGCAGACAUGAAAAGAAUUUGUAAACUUUUAAGGCUAUAAGUUAUAGCCAAAUACUAUAUUGCAGUGUAUUAUAUUAUUAUACAAUUAUACCUUUUCGUACAGCACAUAUGUGCAUAUAUUACCAGUCCGUACGUGACGGAAAAUAUAUAUGACCAAUCAUGUGACUUGACUUCUCUGCACGUGCUUGUGGAAGUAAUUAGAUUUUGUCAUUGAGAAUUACCAGAGACUUAAAAAACAUGAGAUAAGCAACUUCAUUGAAUCCAGAAAUAUCUCAUGUGACUGAAUUUGUAACAAUUAAAACUCACAGACCAUUCAUCAUACAAACAU